UGUUCAGCUGGUUGAGAGCGUCCCGCCUCACAGGCGGGAAGGUCACUGGUCGGAUCCAGUAGGUCCCA
rnacentral:tRNA from 1 species